rnacentral:rRNA from 1 species
CUACGGGUGGCUCCAGUGAGGAAUAUUGCACAAUGGGGGGAACCCUGAUGCAGCAACGCCGCGUGGAGGAUGACGCAUUUCGGUGUGUAAACUCCUUUUAUAUGUCAAGAAAAUGACGGUAGCAUAUGAAUAAGCACCGGCUAACUCCGUGCCAGUAGCCGCGGUAAUACGGAGGGUGCAAGCGUUACUCGGAAUCGCUGGGCGUAAAGGACGCGUAGGCGGGUUGGAAAGUCAGGUGUGAAAUCCUACAGCUUAACUGUAGAACUGCACUUGAAACUUCUAAUCUAGAGUAUGGGAGGGGGAGAUGGAAUUAGUGGUGUAGGGGUAAAAUCCGUGGAUAUCACUAGGAAUACCUAAAGCGAAGGCGAUCUCCUGGAACAUUACUGACGCUAAGGCGUGAAAGCGUGGGGAGCAAACAGGAUUAGAUACCCGAGUAGUC